GCUAAACGCGAAGAACCUUACCAAGGCUUGACAUGGAUUUCUAAGCACGUGAAAGCGUGUGACCCUUCGGGGGACUUCCACAGGUGCUGCAUGGCCGUCGUCAGCUCGUGUCGUGAGAUGUUGGGUUAAGUCCCGUAACGAGCGCAACCCUUGUCCUUAGUUGCCAUCAGGUUAUGCUGGGCACUUUAAGGAGACUGCCGGUGAUAAACCGGAGGAAGGUGGGGAUGACGUCAAGUCCUCAUGGCCCUUACAGGUAGGGCUACACACGUGCUACAAUGGGCAGGUACAGAGGGAAGCCAACCGGCGACGGGGAGCUAAUCCCAGAAAAUCCAUCGUAGUCCGGAUUGGAGUCUGCAACUCGACUCCAUGAAGUCGGAAUCGCUAGUAAUCGCAGAUCAGCAUUGCUGCGGUGAAUACGUUCCCGGGUCUUGUACACACCG
rnacentral:rRNA from 1 species